UUUGAGGAAAUGUCUGACAAAGGAUCAUAGAAACUGAAAUGAAAAUUGCACAAGGUAGCUGUCUAUGAAAAAUUUUGUGUUUGAAGUUCAAGGAUCUAGUACAAUUGUUGAAUCCUUUGAAAAUGUAUUGGAGAAAUAGAAUAUGUUGAUGAUAAAUGAAGUGGAGCAUGAUAAAUUCAUGUUUCAUAGCAAGGAGGAAUCCCCUUUGAUUAAAGUGGCAAAUGUACUGUUUGAUCAGCUUUAUGAGGGAAAUGAGCUUAUGGAAACGAAGGCUGAAAAUGGUACAAUGAAGGAUUGCUCAAUUCAUUUGUUACGUGACUAUGGCUGGGAAGUAGAAUUACUUGAAGGUGUUGUAAUUUCAGUUCGAUUUGUACCUGAAGUAUUAAGGAUGCGGACAAAUGUUUAUGCAAAAGAGGAUUUUCGAUCUACAAGGAUCAACAUUGGUUUGAUAAUCUUAUGGCAAGCUUAUUCCCAAGUGGGGUUGUUACCGCGCACUAGAAAUGUCUGGCUGGGAUUGCUUCGUCCACCACCAGAACCACCUCCACAAGGCUCCAGAAUUUCACAAAUAAGCACUCCACUCCA
rnacentral:lncRNA from 1 species